UCUGCCCUUCACUCUGGGACAAGCCCUGGAAAUGGGGUCUAAUACCGGAUAAUACUCCGGUCCGCAUGGGAGGGGGUUGAAAGCUCCGGCGGUGAAGGAUGAGCCCGCGGCCUAUCAGCUUGUUGGUGGGGUAAUGGCCUACCAAGGCGACGACGGGUAGCCGGCCUGAGAGGGCGACCGGCCACACUGGGACUGAGACACGGCCCAGACUCCUACGGGAGGCAGCAGUGGGGAAUAUUGCACAAUGGGCGAAAGCCUGAUGCAGCGACGCCGCGUGAGGGAUGACGGCCUUCGGGUUGUAAACCUCUUUCAGCAGGGAAGAAGCGCAAGUGACGGUACCUGCUUAAGAAGCGCCGGCUAACUACGUGCCAGCAGCCGCGGUAAUACGUAGGGCGCAAGCGUUGUCCGGAAUUAUUGGGCGUAAAGAGCUCGUAGGCGGCUUGUCACGUCGGAUGUGAAAGCCCGGGGCUUAACCCCGGGUCUGCAUUCGAUACGGGCUAGCUAGAGUGUGGUAGGGGAGAUCGGAAUUCCUGGUGUAGCGGUGAAAUGCGCAGAUAUCAGGAGGAACACCGGUGGCGAAGGCGGAUCUUCUGGGCCAUUACUGACGCUGAGGAGCGAAAGCGUGGGGAGCGAACAGGGAUUAGAUACCCUGGUAGUCCACCGCCCGUAAACGUUGGGAACUAGGUGUUGGCGACAUUCCACGUCGUCGGUGCCGCAGCUAACGCAUUUAAGUUCCCCGCCUGGGGAGUACGGCCGCAAGGCUAAAAACUCAAAGGAAUUGACGGGGGCCCGCACAAGCAGCGGAGCAUGUGGCUUAAUUCGACGCAACGCGAAGAACCUUACCAAGGCUUGACAUAUACCGGAAAGCAUCAGAGAUGGUGCCCCCCUUGUGGUCGGUAUACAGGUGGUGCAUGGCUGUCGUCAGCUCGUGUCGUGAGAUGUUGGGUUAAGUCCCGCAACGAGCGCAACCCUUGUUCUGUGUUGCCAGCAUGCCUUUCGGGGUGAUGGGGACUCACAGGAGACUGCCGGGGUCAACUCGGAGGAAGGUGGGGACGACGUCAAGUCAUCAUGCCCCUUAUGUCUUGGGCUGCACACGUGCUACAAUGGCCGGUACAAUGAGCUGGGAUGCCGUGAGGCGGAGCGAAUCUCAAAAAGCCGGUCUCAGUUCGGAUUGGGGUCUGCAACUCGACCCCAUGAAGUCGGAGUUGCUAGUAAUCGCAGAUCAGCAUUGCUGCGGUGAAUACG
rnacentral:rRNA from 1 species